UACAGAGGGGGCAAGCGUUGUUCGGAAUUACUGGGCGUAAAGGGCGCGUAGGCGGCCUUCUAAGUCGAACGUGAAAUCCCCGGGCUCAACCCGGGAACUGCGUCCGAUACUGGAAGGCUUGAAUCCGGGAGAGGGAUGUGGAAUUCCAGGUGUAGCGGUGAAAUGCGUAGAUAUCAGGAGGAACACCAAUAGCGAAGGCAGCUCGCUGGGACGGUACUGACACUAAGGCGCGAAAGCGUGGGAGCAACAGG
rnacentral:rRNA from 1 species